rnacentral:rRNA from 1 species
AACGAACGCUGGCGGCAGGCCUAACACAUGCAAGUCGAGCGCCCGCAAGGGAGCGGCGGACGGGUGAGUAACGCGUGGGAACGUGCCCUUUGCUACGGAAUAGCCUCGGGAAACUGCGAGUAAUACCGGAUGUGCCCUUCGGGGGAAAGAUUUAUCGGCAAAGGAUCGGCCCGCGUUGGAUUAGGUAGGUGGUGGGGUAAUGGCCUACCAAGCCGACGAUCCAUAGCUGGUUUGAGAGGAUGACCAGCCACACUGGGACUGAGACACGGCCCAGACUCCUACGGGAGGCAGCAGUGGGGAAUCUUAGACAAUGGGCGCAAGCCUGAUCUAGACAUGCCGCGUGAGCGAUGAAGGCCGUAGGGUUGUAAAGCUCUUUCGUGGGGGAAGAUAAUGACGGUACCCCAAGAAGAAGCCCCGGCUAACUCCGUGCCAGCCGCCGCCGUAACAC